rnacentral:lncRNA from 1 species
GGUAUAACUCAUGUCAUUGUGGAUGAGAUUCACGAACGCAGAAUGAAUGAAGGACCUCCUUCCUUCGGCUAGAACUGAGGUUGAUUCUGAUGAGUGCAACCCUAGAUUCUGAGCUUUUCUGGCAGGGCUCAGAUAAUUCAUGUUCCAGAUGUUUUGGAAAGUACGGGUUGCAGGUUAACUCCAUACAAUCAGAUUGAUGAAAGUGCAAGGCAUAGUGCUUAAGAUGCAUUUGCUUGUAUGAGAUUAACAUUUUGGCAUAGUGCUUUUUGUAAUCACAAGGCAAAGUAGUAAUUG